UGUGCAUUUGAGCUAAAGCAAGGGAAGCAUUUCCCCUUCCCCUGGCUGAAAGCUCAGCUGACCCCGAGGCUCUUCUGGUCAUGCUUAGAGUGGGCCCUACAUCCAAUGACUGGUGUUCUCAUAAGGAGAGAGAGACAAAGAGUAGACAGACACAAGGGAGAAGGCCGUGUGAAGAUGGAGGCAGAGAUUGGAAUGAUACAGCCACAAGCCAAGAAACAUCUGCGGCCGUCAGAAGUUGGAAGAGGCAAGGAAUGAUUUAUUCUUUCCCACUCAUUGUUUCACCAAUGAGCACCUUCCAUGUGCCACCGUUCUGACCGUGCUGACAACGUGGUUUCAGACUUCUGGCCCCCAGAACUGUGAAAGAGUAAAUUUCUGUUAAGUUAUCUUGCUUGUGGUACUUUGUUACAGCAGCCCUGUGGAUCUAAUAUAGUCAUAAGAGACAUUGUGACCUCCUCCCUGCUCUCUUGAACCACUCAUUCUGGGAGAAGUCAGCUGCCAUGUCAUGAAGCUACUCAGGGAGGUCUAUGGAGAGGUCCACAUGGCAAGGAACUGAGGCCUCCUGCCAGUAGCCAGCACCAUCUUGCUGGCCAUGUGAGCAUGCCAUCUUAGAAGCAGAUCAUACGGCCCCAGUCAAGCCUUCAAAUGACUGCAUCCCUACUUGACAUUUUGACUGUAACCUCAUGAGAAACCCUAAGCCAGAACACCAGCUAAGCCACUCCCCAAUUCCUCAUCAAGAGAAACUGAGAUAAUAAAUGUUUAUUAUUGUUUUAAGCUACUAAA